UCAAGGCCAUCAUGGUCUACAGAGCAAAUUCUAGGUCAGCCAAGGCUACACCGAGAAACCCUGUCUCAAAAAAAUCAAAACAAAGCAAGUUUAUAUUGUCAAUUUUUGAGAAAAUUUCAAAACAACAAGAACAAAAAAUGUGUUUCCUGUCUUCCAGCUAGGUUUUCCUCAUCUUUAAGAAGAAGCUAUUUUGGGAUGCAUUUCAUGAUGCAUGCUUGCAUCUAAUCAUCUUCUUCCCUUGCAGAUGAUUCCAAUUGAGUCAGACUUGGGAGAUAACAGAUUGUCUUUGGAGAUAGAUAGAUGGGAAGCCGUAAACAGAACUGUUAAAUCUAGAGGCGCGUCUGGAAGUUAUUUCCAUUGAGAACGGACCUGAGCUGAGAUAUUUGAUAUCUACAGAUGCAAAAACUUGACUGAGGUAAGAUAUUUGAUACCUACAGAGAAUAAAACAUGAGUGACAGGAAACA
rnacentral:lncRNA from 1 species